rnacentral:rRNA from 1 species
UUCCGGUUGAUCCUGCCGGAGGCCAUUGCUAUCGGGGUCCGACUCAGCCAUGCUAGUCGUGCGGGUUCAGACCCGCGGCAGACAGCUCAGUAACACGAUGGCCAAACUACCCUCUGGACGCGGACACCCUCGGGAAACUGAGGCUAAUCCACGAUACGGCUCCCACGCUGGAAUGCGGGGAGCCGGAAACGCUCCGGCGCCAGAGGAUGUGGCUGCGGCCGAUUAGGUUGACGGUGGGGUAACGGCCCACCGUGCCCAUAAUCGGUACGGGAUGUGAGAGCAAAUAGCCCGGAGAUGGAUUCUGAGACAAGAAUCCAGGCCCUACGGGGCGCAGCAGGCGCGAAACCUUUACACUGCACGCCAGUGCGAUAAGGGGACCCCGAGUGCGAGGGCAUACAGUCCUCGCUUUUGUACACCGUAAGGAGGUGUACGAAUAAGGGCUGGGCAAGACCGGCGCCAGCCGCCGCGGUAAUACCGGCAGCCCGAGUGAUGGCCGCUGUUAUUGGGCCUAAAGCGUCCGUAGCCGGCCGAACAAGUCUGUCGGGAAAUCCAUCUGCCUAACAGAUGGGCGUCCGGCAGAAACUGUUCGGCUUGGGGCCGGAAGAUCCGAGGGGUACGUCCGGGGUAGGAGUGAAAUCCCGUAAUCCUGGACGGACCGCCGGUGGCGAAAGCGCCUCGGAAGGACGGACCCGACGGUGAGGGACGAAAGCUGGGGUCUCGAACCGGAUUAGAUACCCGGGUAGUCCCAGCCGUAAACGAUGCUCGCUAGGUGUGGCACAGGCUACGAGCCUGUGCUGUGCCGUAGGGAAGCCGUGAAGCGAGCCGCCUGGGAAGUACGUCCGCAAGGAUGAAACUUAAAGGAAUUGGCGGG